UUGUCUUCUUCGACUGCACAUGUACUAAAAUUGGAAUGAUAGAGAUUUGCAUAGCCCCUAUGCAAGGAUGGCACACAAGUUCAUGAAGUGUUCCAGGUUUGG
ensembl:snRNA U6 U6 spliceosomal RNA